UUAGGAGCCCUCUGUUUCCUUUCAUGAAUCGGCCGGAUUGUAAGCGUAGAGACUGCACGUUUUGAAGGAGAUGGUGAAGAGGCAACUCAGAGAGAAAACUGCAGGAUUUUAGAGAGCCCUAGGAGCAGAAGCAGAAGCAACAGGCAUUUCUUGCUGAGAGAUAUGUAUGAUGAUAUGAUGCUGGAUGGAGUACAGCCAACUAGGGAUACAUUCCAUUCUGUCAUCAGUUAGUGGAAAGGUGGAUAAGCAAAAUGCUCAUUUCUUUGGUGUUACGAUCAACGAGCAACAAGCCAAGUGUGGUAUUGUAGUAAGAGUUACUUCAAAUGCACAAAGCAAAUUUAAGUUACUUUAUUUCGAGCAAGAUGUGAAUGGCGGUUAUGGUUUGGCCCUACAGAAUGUAUGCAGAAGAAAGAAGUUACUACUUUUUCUCUAGGUGAUUGAUGAAAUAGAUGGAGCUCUUGGUGAUGGCAAAGGUGCUGUGGAGGUUAUUCUAAAGAUGAUAAGAAGGCUCUCUAAAACCUUGCAGUUUUCUAUCUGAGUCGCCUCUUCACCAUCUCCUUCAAAACGCGCAGUCUCCACGCUUACAAUCCGGCCGAUGCGAAAGGAAACAGAGGGCUCCUAAGGUCUGGUUAUGGAUAAAGAGAUGGCGGGGAAACGUCGAAGAAAGGAAAGAAAAAAACAUAUAAAAAAAAAACAUAAGGGUAUUUCGUUUCGUUUUCAUGAUUCCCUGGAAAAUGGGUUCAUAUAUUUGUUCAACCAACAGUUAAUCGUGUUGUCAGCAGGUGAUCCUUGACUACCAUGGCUGAUGUUUAAUUGCUGUGACAAUUUCAAGCCUUUCCAUUUCUGAUGGGGAACAUUGGGUCAAGUCGGGAUUGAUACCAACAGAGGCUUUUGUAGGAGCUAUAAUAUUAUCUAGGAGCUGUAAUAUUCUCUAGGAGGUGUAAUAUUCUCUUGUUUUUAUUCAUAAAACACUUGUACAAUUUCCUCUUGCUAAUUCAGAUUUUGUUUUUAGUUUUUGUACUUGAUUCUCGUGUCAAUAUGAUGUGUAAGGAUCCAAUUUCAUUAUUAAAUUAUCCAUAUUAUUUGA